UAUCUCUGUAGAGUCUGCAUAUCAAUAAGCGGAGGAAAAGAAACUAACUAGGAUUCCCUUAGUAACGGCGAGUGAAGCGGGAAGAGCUCAAAUUUGAAAUCUUCAAGGUUUUACCUUGACGAAUUGUAGUUUAAAGAAGUGUUUUCUGUUGAGUGUUUCGGUAAAAGUUCUUUGGAAUAGGACAUCAUAGAGGGUGAGAAUCCCGUAUUUGACCAUUACUUUCAGCUGUGUGAUACACUUUCAAAGAGUCGGAUUGUUUGGGAAUGCAGUCCAAAAUGGGUGGUAAAUUUCAUCUAAAGCUAAAUACUUGGCGAGAGACCGAUAGCGAACAAGUACCGUGAGGGAAAGAUGAAAAGAACUUUGAAAAGAGAGUUAAACAGUACGUGAAAUUGUCAAAAGGGAAGCGUUUGACACCAGUGUUGUUUUCUCGAAAAUCAAUUAAAAAUGGCAGGAUUUUGUGUUGUAUUGACUUUAUCAGCUUUCUGCACUUUUUUCUUAUCUUUUUUAAUGCACUUUUCGUUUAACAAGUCAACAUCAAUUUCUUUUGCUGUAAAAGAGUCAUUGGAAGGUGGCUUUCUUUUCGGAGAAAGUGUUUAUAGCCUUUGACUUCUGCAGUCGGAGAGAUUGAGGUCUGCAGCGUAGAUCCUUCGGGGUUAGAUGCAUUUGUGCUAAGUUAUAGCCUUUCAUAGACAACUUGUUGACUAUGAUCAGUCAUGUAGCUUACUCGCUUAUGUUAUUUUACCUACGCUUAGGAUGUUGAUCUCUCACAGUCGAGC
rnacentral:rRNA from 1 species